rnacentral:rRNA from 1 species
GCCCGUUAAUGGGUGAUGGCGUGCCUUUUGUAGAAUGAACCGGCGAGUUACGAUUGCAUGCGAGGUUAAGUUGAAGAGACGGAGCCGCAGCGAAAGCGAGUCUGAAUAGGGCGUUUGAGUAUGUAGUCGUAGACCCGAAACCAUGUGAUCUACCCAUGUCCAGGUUGAAGGUGCGGUAAAACGCACUGGAGGACCGAACCCACGUACGUUGAAAAGUGCGGGGAUGAGGUGUGGGUAGCGGAGAAAUUCCAAACGAACUUGGAGAUAGCUGGUUCUCUCCGAAAUAGCUUUAGGGCUAGCCUCGGAAUUGAGAAUGAUGGAGGUAGAGCACUGUUUGGACUAGGGGCCCAUCUCGGGUUACCGAAUUCAGAUAAACUCCGAAUGCCAUUCAUUCAUAUCCGGGAGUCAGACUGUGAGUGAUAAGAUCCAUAGUCGAAAGGGAAACAGCCCAGACCACCAGCUAAGGUCCCAAAAUAUAUGUUAAGUGGAAAAGGAUGUGGGGUUGCACAGACAACUAGG